AUUGAACGCUGGCGGCAUGCCUUACACAUGCAAGUCGAACGGUAACAGGCCGCAAGGUGCUGACGAGUGGCGAACGGGUGAGUAAUGCAUCGGAACGUGCCCAGUCGUGGGGGAUAACUGCUCGAAAGAGCAGCUAAUACCGCAUACGACCUGAGGGUGAAAGCGGGGGACCGUAAAGCCUCCCGCGAUUGGAGCGGCCGAUGUCAGAUUAGCUAGUUGGUGGGGUAAAGGCCUACCAAGGCAACGAUCCGUAGUUGGUCUGAGAGGACGACCAGCCACACUGGGACUGAGACACGGCCCAGACUCCUACGGGAGGCAGCAGUGGGGAAUUUUGGACAAUGGGCGCAAGCCUGAUCCAGCAAUGCCGCGUGCAGGAAGAAGGCCUUCGGGUUGUAAACUGCUUUUGUCAGGAAAGAAAUCAUCUGGGUUAAUACCUCGGGAGGAUGACGGUACCUGAAGAAUAAGCACCGGCUAACUACGUGCCAGCAGCCGCAGUAAAAC
rnacentral:rRNA from 1 species